AGUGAACGCUGGCGGUAGGCCUAACACAUGCAAGUCGAACGGCAGCACAGGAGAGCUUGCUCUCUGGGUGGCGAGUGGCGGACGGGUGAGGAAUACAUCGGAAUCUACUCUGUCGUGGGGGAUAACGUAGGGAAACUUACGCUAAUACCGCAUACGACCUACGGGUGAAAGCAGGGGACCUUCGGGCCUUGCGCGAUUGAAUGAGCCGAUGUCGGAUUAGCUAGUUGGCGGGGUAAAGGCCCACCAAGGCGACGAUCCGUAGCUGGGCUGAGAGGAUGAUCAGCCACACUGGAACUGAGACACGGUCCAGACUCCUACGGGAGGCAGCAGUGGGGAAUAUUGGACAAUGGGCGCAAGCCUGAUCCAGCCAUACCGCGUGGGUGAAGAAGGCCUUCGGGUUGUAAAGCCCUUUUGUUGGGAAAGAAAUCCAGCUGGCUAAUACCCGGUUGGGAUGACGGUACCCAAAGAAUAAGCACCGGCUAACUUCGUGCCAGCCGCCGCAGUAA
rnacentral:rRNA from 1 species